CAAGAUUCUUUUCAAACAUAUGAAAGCAACAAUUCAACUAGUCUACAGUUAAAAAGACUCAUAUUUACAAUGCUACCUCCUAAUUAAAGCAUUAUUUACUUGGAAAACCCUCUAAAUUAUUGGAAAAUUUGAGGGUCUAAAGAGAAAUUGCUGAUACUUGUGAGAACAAUAUUAAAAUUUGAAAGAAGCUUUGCAAUUAUCCAUAGUCAAGUUUCCAAAUGGAUCUUUCAGACCAUUCACUAUCCACUACCUGCUAAAUUGUCCAGUUGUGCAUUGUCAAUAUUAUUAUUAUUUUUUUUUCCUUUGCAGAAGAAAAAUAAAACACACCUAGGAAUUACAUAUUUUAUUUGCCUUAAGCAUGAUUAUCAAAUUGUCAGAUUGCAAUACUUG
rnacentral:misc_RNA from 1 species